rnacentral:rRNA from 1 species
AGUAACCUGCCCUUGACUCUGGGAUAAGCCUGGGAAACUGGGUCUAAUACCGGAUAUGACUCCUCAUCGCAUGGUGGGGGGUGGAAAGCUUUUGUGGUUUUGGAUGGACUCGCGGCCUAUCAGCUUGUUGGUGGGGUAAUGGCCUACCAAGGCGACGACGGGUAGCCGGCCUGAGAGGGUGACCGGCCACACUGGGACUGAGACACGGCCCAGACUCCUACGGGAGGCAGCAGUGGGGAAUAUUGCACAAUGGGCGAAAGCCUGAUGCAGCGACGCCGCGUGAGGGAUGACGGCCUUCGGGUUGUAAACCUCUUUCAGUAGGGAAGAAGCCGUAAGGUGACGGUACCUGCAGAAGAAGCGCCGGCUAACUACGUGCCAGCAGCCGCGGUAAUACGUAGGGC